rnacentral:rRNA from 1 species
AACGAACGCUGGCGGCAGGCUUAACACAUGCAAGUCGAGCGAGACCUUCGGGUCUAGCGGCGGACGGGUGAGUAACGCGUGGGAACGUGCCCUUCUCUACGGAAUAGCCCCGGGAAACUGGGAGUAAUACCGUAUACGCCCUUUGGGGGAAAGAUUUAUCGGAGAAGGAUCGGCCCGCGUUGGAUUAGGUAGUUGGUGGGGUAAUGGCCCACCAAGCCGACGAUCCAUAGCUGGUUUGAGAGGAUGAUCAGCCACACUGGGACUGAGACGCGGCCCAGACUCCUACGGGAGGCAGCAGUGGGGAAUCUUAGACAAUGGGGGCAACCCUGAUCUAGCCAUGCCGCGUGAGUGAUGAAGGCUUUAGGGUUGUAAAGCUCUUUCAGCUGGGAAGAUAAUGACGGUACCAGCAGAAGAAGCCCCGGCUAACUACGUGCCAGCCGCCGCAGUAA